rnacentral:tRNA from 1 species
GAGGGUGUAGCUCAGUGGUAGAGUACAUGCUUAGCAUGCAUGAGGUCCUGGGUUAAAUCCCCAGUACCUCCA